UACGAAGGGGGCUAGCGUUGUUCGGAAUUACUGGGCGUAAAGGGCGCGUAGGUGGCUUGGCAAGUUGGGUGUGAAAGCCCAGGGCUCAACCUGGGAAUGGCCGUUGAAACUGGCGAACUGGAGUGUGGCAGAGGGGGGUGGAAUUCCGCGUGUAGCAGUGAAAUGCGUAGAGAUGCGGAGGAACACCGAUGGCGAAGGCAGCCCCCUGGGCUGACACUGACGCUCAGGCACGAAAGCGUGGGGAGCAAACAGG
rnacentral:rRNA from 1 species